rnacentral:rRNA from 1 species
UACGAAGGGGGCUAGCGUUGCUCGGAAUUACUGGGCGUAAAGCGCACGUAGGCGGCUUUCUAAGUCGGGGGUGAAAUCCUGGAGCUCAACUCCAGAACUGCCUUCGAUACUGGAGAGCUUGAGUCCGGGAGAGGUGAGUGGAACUGCGAGUGUAGAGGUGAAAUUCGUAGAUAUUCGCAAGAACACCAGUGGCGAAGGCGGCUCACUGGCUCGGUACUGACGCUGAGGUGCGAAAGCGUGGGGAGCAAACAGG